UACGUAGGGUGCGAGCGUUAAUCGGAAUUACUGGGCGUAAAGCGUGCGCAGGCGGUUUUGUAAGUCAGAUGUGAAAUCCCCGGGCUCAACCUGGGAACUGCGUUUGAAACUACAAGGCUAGAGUGUGGCAGAGGGGGGUGGAAUUCCACGUGUAGCAGUGAAAUGCGUAGAUAUCUGGAGGAACACCGGUGGCGAAGGCGGCAUCCUGGGCCGGUAUUGACGCUGAGGAGCGAAAGCCAGGGGAGCAAACGGG
rnacentral:rRNA from 1 species